CAUGCAGUCGAGCGGUAGCACAGAGAGCUUGCUCUCGGGUGACGAGCGGCGGACGGGUGAGUAAUGUCUGGGAAACUGCCUGAUGGAGGGGGAUAACUACUGGAAACGGUAGCUAAUACCGCAUAAUGUCGCAAGACCAAAGUGGGGGACCUUCGGGCCUCAUGCCAUCAGAUGUGCCCAGAUGGGAUUAGCUAGUAGGUGGGGUAACGGCUCACCUAGGCGACGAUCCCUAGCUGGUCUGAGAGGAUGACCAGCCACACUGGAACUGAGACACGGUCCAGACUCCUACGGGAGGCAGCAGUGGGGAAUAUUGCACAAUGGGCGCAAGCCUGAUGCAGCCAUGCCGCGUGUGUGAAGAAGGCCUUCGGGUUGUAAAGCACUUUCAGCGGGGAGGAAGGCGGUGAGGUUAAUAACCUUGGCGAUUGACGUUACCCGCAGAAGAAGCACCGGCUAACUCCGUGCCAGCAGCCGCGGUAAUACGGAGGGUGCAAGCGUUAAUCGGAAUUACUGGGCGUAAAGCGCACGCAGGCGGUCUGUCAAGUCGGAUGUGAAAUCCCCGGGCUCAACCUGGGAACUGCAUUCGAAACUGGCAGGCUAGAGUCUUGUAGAGGGGGGUAGAAUUCCAGGUGUAGCGGUGAAAUGCGUAGAGAUCUGGAGGAAUACCGGUGGCGAAGGCGGCCCCCUGGACAAAGACUGACGCUCAGGUGCGAAAGCGUGGGGAGCAAACAGGAUUAGAUACCCUGGUAGUCCACGCCGUAAACGAUGUCGAUUUGGAGGUUGUGCCCUUGAGGCGUGGCUUCCGGAGCUAACGCGUUAAAUCGACCGCCUGGGGAGUACGGCCGCAAGGUUAAAACUCAGAUGAAUUGACGGGGGCCCGCACAAGCGGUGGAGCAUGUGGUUUAAUUCGAUGCAACGCGAAGAACCUUACCUGGUCUUGACAUCCACAGAACUUUCCAGAGAUGGAUUGGUGCCUUCGGGAACUGUGAGACAGGUGCUGCAUGGCUGUCGUCAGCUCGUGUUGUGAAAUGUUGGGUUAAGUCCCGCAACGAGCGC
rnacentral:rRNA from 1 species